rnacentral:RNase_P_RNA from 2 species
AGAGUAGGUGAGGUAGUUGCAGGCUUGUUUGAUUGACAAGUUUGAGGAAAGUCCGGACUCCCGAAAGACCAAACUUGCUGGGUAACGCCCAGUACAGGCGACUGUGAGGAUAGUGCCACAGAAACAUACCGCCUUUUUUUCAGUCAACAGUAAAAAAAAACUGAUAAUUGGAAAAGGUAAGGGUGCAAAGGUGGGGUAAGAGCCCACCAGCAGUAUCGAGAGGUACUGGCUCGGUAAACCCCGGUUGGGAGCAAGGUCGAAGGAACAAUGGUUGGUCUUUUUCCAGUUCCGUUUUAGGUGAACCGCUAGAGAUGUUUGGUAACAGCCAUCCCAGAUAGAUAACUACCCCCAAUAAGACGUAGUAUACUAUGUCUUUAACUGGGAACAAAAUCCGGCUUAUUUUCCUACUCUCCUA